CUUACUUUUUCUUUUUGAUGAAUUUUUGGACCAGGGGUCCAUUUAUUUCAUCUGAAAAAUCCUUACAUCAUAUGACAAAAUAAGCCCAAAUAAGCAAGAGAAAGAUGGCCCAAAAUAGGAAGUAAAAGACUAAGAGUAGGAUUUCCUAAAAGAGUUCUCCUCUAUUCCACCACCUCCAUAUUUCUUGUUCCUUUUUCUUUGUUUUUUAUUCUUCUCCACCUCUGGGUCAUCAAUAUUCUGCAUCCAUGGAUAGUGAGGUGAUAUAACAGCUCACAAAGAUGUGCAUCCCGGUGGAGGUGUUUGGAAAUCUCGCAUAACUUUUUGUUGGGAUUGAACCAUGACGCUCCUUCUAAAGGCUUUGAGGAUAUCGGCCUGCUGAAUCGAGAAAUUAGAAGGGCUUCAUCAAAUAAAUAAGCAUAUAUUAAUUAGGUACGCCGAAAUGAAGGAGAAUAUAUGCAGCAGCAAUUCUUCAAGGGUAUAGGGGUGGGUUUGGCUUGAACAUAGGCUCAAACAAAAUUUGAAGGGUCCUAGCUACGGCAUGCGUUCAAUACAAAAUCUGAAAAGCUGCAGGGAUGACAAAAAGAGGGCGCUUUCCAGUGUUGCACUGAAAAAAAGGACCUAAGAGACUAUCGAGAGAAUCUGGAUAGGCAUGAUCGAAAGAGGGGGUGAUCACACUCAUCAUAACCUUUCCUGAAAGUAGACGACAAGUUUGAAAUCUUAACGCCAACAUAAUCAUUGAAAUAGUAUCUUCUUUUUCGCCACAUCGCAUCAAGGUGACAUGAUAUGUUGACUAAUCCUUAAUUAUUUAAAGAUUUUGAGCCAGUUUGUGUAUUCUUUGUAAGUUAAUUUAGAUUUUCUAAGUACGUGUAAAUA